AGACCUCACUCUGCAAAAUUUGGUUGCAAAAAAACUUUUUUAAAUUGCCCUAACAUUCUAUCAGGCACCUUGUGUGCAUAAGAGAAUUUUGCAAGCUCUUAAAGAUGCAUUAGGGACUUGCUUGCCUCGCUAAAUCAGCAUGUCCACUAGCAUUCUUUGCUCAUUAGCCUAACCAUGUUGAGUUGCAUUUGCAGCAGGGCCAACUAAGGAAGUUUGGCAUUGCAUCGAGCACCUGGUGCGCGUGCCCGGAGCGCGAGCAGAGCGCGCACAUUGUACACACCCGCGUCGAGCCGCCGCGUCGACUUACCACGCCCUCCCACUCGCCCCGGCCUUUCCCCUGCUCGCAGAGCCGCUCCAAUGCCCUCUCUCCUGACCAUCACCUCGUGCCUUGCAACACCGCCGCUGUAGCUCCUUGGCGGCACGUCGUCGUCUGCAGCCACCUCUGCCCUGGUCGGCUCUGCCAAAGCCUCCUCCGCUCACCAGCUGCCCCUUGGAACGGUCUUAGAGCUUGUCCACAAGUUCCUAGCCAUGUUGGCCUCGCCACGCCGCCCCUCCGACGACAGUAGCGGUGAACCACCAUGGUUGCAGCGAACCAACCUUCCCCCUCCUAUAAAUAGGACGCCUCAAACUCCCUCCGCUCGGCAUCAACACAUCUCCAGCCGUAGAAAUCCUUCCCUAGAACCAAUUCAAUCAAAGCUCGUCGUCUUCCCCCUCUCGUGCAACCAUGCCCGCCGCCACUCUCUGGUCAAAUUCCAGUGCACCAACGCCCUUCCCCCUCAAUUUCCUCCUCCAACAGCACCCUAGUGCACCAACCGUUCCAUCCCACAAGCUCAAUUUGGUCGGAGAUGGACCAAAGGAGGAAAAGCCGAUUUUGGUUCCGCCACAAAUUCUCGGAUGAGCUCACCGACGACGACUCCGUCCACCACGGCGACCUCACUACACCUCUGCAUGAUCGCGGAGAGCCCUUGAAUUCGAUGGUGUGGUCGUCGUCCAUCGUCGUGCUCCCCAUCACUGGCGAGGAUCGCCAGAGGUCGCACUCCGCUCGGCCAGAUAAGGAGAUGGCGAGUUGGACUCCUCAAAUCUGACAAGUGGGCGAGAAAGACCCACUGUUAGCGACACACACACCGCGUGUUGGUUUAAGUGGAGGCGUAUUUACACAGAAUCGCGAUAUUAGGGAGGAGCAUUAAGACGACAACCCCGCAACCUAGGCAUGGAAGAUAGCAGCCACACGAGAUGGGAGCUAUCCAGGUCAGCUGUUCAUGUGGAAAAUGGAGUCUCAUAGACGGUUGAGAUCCAUGAAACGCUUCCACCAUCAGUCACUAGAAAUCUUUAUUGUACUCCAUAGACCAUCAUGUUCUUGUACGCCAAAUUUUAUAUUGCUUGGAAUUUUUUUAUCAA